rnacentral:hammerhead_ribozyme from 1 species
GCACUGAUGAAGAGUCCCAAAUGGGGACAAAACAGCUGUCCAGUAC